rnacentral:rRNA from 1 species
GAAAGAUUCAUCGGAAGAGGAUGGGCAUGCGGCGCAUUAGCUUGACGGCGGGGUAACGGCCCACCGUGGCGACGAUGCGUAGGGGUUCUGAGAGGAAGGUCCCCCACACUGGUACUGGGACACGGACCAGACUCCUACGGGAGGCAGCAGUGAGGAAUAUUGGUCAAUGGGAGAGAUCCUGAACCAGCCAAGCCGCGUGAGGGAAGACGGCCCUAUGGGUUGUAAACCUCUUUUGUCGGAGAACAAAACCCGGGACGUGUCCCGGACUGCGUGUAUCCGAAGAAAAAGCAUCGGCUAACUCCGUGCCAGCAGCCGCGGUAAUACGGAGGAUGCGAGCGUUAUCCGGAUUUAUUGGGUUUAAAGGGUGCGUAGGCGGUCCGUUAAGUCAGCGGUAAAAUUGCGGGGCUCAACCCCGUCGAGCCGUUGAAACUGGCAGACUUGAGUUGGCGAGAAGUACGCGGAAUGCGCGGUGUAGCGGUGAAAUGCAUAGAUAUCGCGCAGAACUCCGAUUGCGAAGGCAGCGUACCGGCGCCACACUGACGCUGAGGCACGAAAGCGUGGGGAUCGAACAGGAUUAGAUACCCUGGUAGUCCACGCCGUAAACGAUGAAUGCU